rnacentral:rRNA from 1 species
UACCAGCUCUCCGAGUGGUGUGGAUGUUUAUUGGGCCUAAAGCAUCCGUAGCUGGCUGGACAAGUCCCCUGUUAAAUCCACCGAUUUAAUCGUUGGUGUGCGGGGGAUACUGUUCGGCUAGGGGACGGGAGAGGCCGACGGUAUUUCCGGGGUAGGGGUGAAAUCCUAUAAUCCCGGGAAGACCACCAGUGGCGAAGGCUGUCGGCUAGAACGCGCCCGACGGUGAGGGGAUAGAAAGCGUGGGGGAGCGAACCGGAUUAGACGUACCCGGGUACGCCCCAGCUGUAAACGAUGCAGGCUAGGUGUUUGGGCGGCCACGUGCCGCUCUAGUGCCGCAAGGAAGCUGUUAAGCCUGCCGCCGUGGGGAGUACGGCCGCAAGGCUGAAACUUAAAGGAAUUGGGCGGGGGAGCACCACGAAGGGUGAAGCUUGCGGUUU